AUCCCUGUAGUGCAAUAGAUAGCACAUUGGACUUCUAAUUCAAAAGUUAUUGGUUUAAAUCCCAUCUGGGGUG